AGAUUAAGUUAUUAAGGGCGCACGGUGGAUGCCUUGGCACUAGAAGCCGAUGAAGGACGUUACUAACGACGAUAUGCUUUGGGUAGCUGUAAGUAAGCGUUGAUCCAGAGAUUUCCGAAUGGGGGAACCCAGCAUGAGU
rnacentral:rRNA from 1 species